rnacentral:tRNA from 1 species
AAAGGGAGACCUAAUUCGGGUAUAAGACGAAAAAAUAGUAGUCGAAACCAAGAAUCAAUCCCAAAAGGUCGGAACGAGGUAUGUGGCUUUCAAACUAGGUUCUGGGUUCAUAAAAGACCUGAAUCAGGAACAAGGGCUAUUAGCUCAGGUGGUUAGAGCGCACCCCUGAUAAGGGUGAGGUCCCUGGUUCGAGUCCAGGAUGGCCCACCUGCACAGGUGGCAAAAACAAAAGAAGCGAGGAAUCAGCACCUUAUCUUAUAUACAUAUAUAAGAGAGAAUGCUGGCUCUGAGUACAGAGUCCAGAGGAACCUUGAAAACUGCAUAGAGCUAGGUGAAAAAGCCAAAAAAGAAGACCGCAAG